CAGACUCCCAAGCACCUGCCCAUCCCACUCCAUAGCCCAGCCACCCACUCUCAUGUACCAUAUGGCCAUCCCAGUAAGCAAGCCAACCACUAGAAUUUGACUGGCAUGCACCUGUGACUUACAUAAACCAGACCUCUACAUAGCCUACAUGUCUUCAUUUUGCUGAAGACUGCCCAUCAUCCUAGCCUGUUAUCUGUGAUAAAGCACACUGAAGUUAGGUUUGGAAUGCAUCCUUAUCAUGAAUGCUCUACACCUCCACCUCCAUCUCCCACAACCUAGGUAACAGCUUUGAGACUCACUAA